ACCCCUAUACACUUUUUCAGCUAUAAUUUUUAGUACAAAAUGUGAAUUCAGGCAGGAACUAUUUUGUUUAAAAUUAGACUCUUAUAACUUUCUUUUGAUACUGAUUUUGUAGAUUUUGGACACCGAAUACUUACCCAAUCAUCUGUUUCAAAUGAGCCUAUAGAUGCUGCAAAAUAGGGAUCAAGAUUUCUGACCUUUCGAUACUAAAAUGCCUAUAACUCUCUGUUGAAAACUCUGAUUUGUACUAAACUGAAUUUUCCGAAACUAGACUUACAGACCUUUCUUUUGACAUAUAUUUUGAAAAUUUUGGAAUUCAAAUGCCUACCCUAUUAUCUGUUGAAUCCGACCCUAUGUAUUCUGCAAAACAGUGAUUGUGUCCUUGACCUUGUGUUACCAA
rnacentral:lncRNA from 1 species